ensembl:snRNA U6 U6 spliceosomal RNA
GUGUUCGCUUUGGAAGCACAUAUACUAAAAUUGGAACAAUACAGAGAAGAUUAGCAUGGUCCCUGCACAAGGAUGACACAGAAAUUCGUGAAGCAUUCCAUAUUUUU